ACUGCACGUUAUUAAAACCUGGGGGUUAGGGCUGAUACCUUGGCCAGUGAUCUCUCAGGUGUCGGAAAUGUGCUACAUUAAUGCUGGCAGGUUUUUCGCUAACACCACAAGGGUCGGUAUGACUCGAUGAGUGGGGUUUGAUAGUAAUCCUUGUCACAAUU